AAUAGAUACCCUGGUAGUCCAUGCCGUAAACGUUGGGAACUAGGUGUGGGUCUCAUUCCACGAGAUCCGUGCCGCAGCUAACGCAUUAAGUUCCCCGCCUGGGGAGUACGGCCGCAAGGCUAAAACUCAAAGGAAUUGACGGGGGCCCGCACAAGCGGCGGAGCAUGCGGAUUAAUUCGAUGCAACGCGAAGAACCUUACCAAGGCUUGACAUACACCGGAAUCACUCAGAGAUGGGUGCGUCUUCGGACUGGUGUACAGGUGGUGCAUGGUUGUCGUCAGCUCGUGUCGUGAGAUGUUGGGUUAAGUCCCGCAACGAGCGCAACCCUCGUUCUAUGUUGCCAGCACGUGAUGGUGGGGACUCAUAGGAGACUGCCGGGGUCAACUCGGAGGAAGUGGGGAUGACGUCAAAUCAUCAUGCCCCUUAUGUCUUGGGCUUCACGCAUGCUACAAUGGCCGGUACAAAGGGCUGCGAAGCCGCGAGGUGGAGCGAAUUCCAAAAAACCGGUCUCAGUUCGGAUUGGGGU
rnacentral:rRNA from 1 species